rnacentral:rRNA from 1 species
CGUUCGGGUGAGUAACACGUGACUACCUACCCUUGAGUGGGGGAUAACCCCGGGAAACCGGGGCUAAUACCGCAUAACAUCGAGAGAUCAAAGGAGCAAUCCGCUCUUGGAGGGGGUCGCGGCUGAUUAGCUAGUUGGUGAGGUAACGGCUCACCAAGGCGAAGAUCGGUAUCCGGCCUGAGAGGGCGCACGGACACACUGGAACUGAAACACGGUCCAGACUCCUACGGGAGGCAGCAGUGGGGAAUUUUGCGCAAUGGGGGAAACCCUGACGCAGCAACGCCGCGUGGAGGAUGAAGCCCUUUGGGGCGUAAACUCCUUUCGACUGGGAAGAUACUGACGGUACCAGUGGAAGAAGCACCGGCUAACUCUGUGCCAGCCGCCGCGG